UACGAAGGGGGCUAGCGUUGCUCGGAAUCACUGGGCGUAAAGGGUGCGUAGGCGGGCCUUUAAGGCAGGGGGGAAAUCCUGGAGCUCAACUCCAGAACUGCCUUUGAUACUGAAGAUCUUGAGUUCGGGAGAGGUGAGUGGAACUGCGAGUGUAGAGGUGAAAUUCGUAGAUAUUCGCAAGAACACCAGUGGCGAAGGCGGCUCACUGGCCCGAUACUGACGCUGAGGCACGAAAGCGUGGGGAGCAAACAGG
rnacentral:rRNA from 1 species